CCACCCUCCUCUGCUGUGCUCUGGAAAGAAAAACAGCUCCGUUCAGCUGCUCCAUGAUCCCGCAGGGCGCCAGAACUCGUUGGAACUGCUUCUCAAAGUGUUUAAAGGCUCCCAGUGUGAAAGGCACAGGGCUGCUCUGUGAUGGAGGAAAUUAAAACCCCUCAAGGCAACCUGUUUGUCUGCCUGGGGAGAGAUGGAUCCAGCUGGACACAUCCGUGCCUGCAGCUUCAUCCCUCUGUCCCACAGCUGGAGCACGGGACCGCUCCAGGCUGGAGAGCACAGGAGGAACGUGAGUCCUCUCUCACAGUGCUCAGUUCCUUCAUCUCUUCCCGGGCAUCACCUGUGACCAGCGCAGAAGGUCUCCAUCCCCCCAAAACCCAGGUCUCACUUCUGGCAGCUCUAACGAGGGGAAGCAAAUCCAGGCUGGCAAACAAGCCUACGUCACACCUCCCUCUGCAAAGAGGUUUUUAGAGCUGGCUUAAAUGGAUUUUGGGAAAACGUCUUUGGGAUUGGAGCUACAAAUGGCUUUUUGAUCAAAACAAAAUCGUUCAUUUUAAAAACUGAAACUGUUUCAUUAAACAUGUUUGGGCUUUGUUUGUUUAUGUCAGAAGCGAUGGGUUUGCCAGGGUCUGAAAAUUGGAAAGUUUAAAGUAUUCUUCUAUUCUGGACUUUGAAUGUAAAAGCACUUCAAAGGUGCUAUGGAAGAAUAAGAACAAUUAAAAAUUUAUUUCCCGGGGGGGAAAAGGAAUGAUUAGAACGAUUGGAAUAAAGAUCACGUCUCUAUUUUCA
rnacentral:lncRNA from 1 species